rnacentral:rRNA from 1 species
GACGAACGCUGGCGGCGUGCUUAACACAUGCAAGUCGAACGAAGUGGCGCACGGGUGAGUAACGCGUAAUCAACCUGCCCUUCAGAGGGGGACAACAGUUGGAAACGACUGCUAAUACCGCAUACUGAAGGAGGGGAUUGCGUCUGAUUAGCUAGUUGGAGGGGUAACGGGCCACCAAGGCGAAGAUCAGUAGCCGGUCUGGGGAGAUGAACGGCCACAAUGGGACUGAGGCAAGGGCCAGACUCCUACGGGAGGGAGCAGUGGGGAAUCCUCCGCAAUGGACGAAAGGCUGACGGGGCAAAGCCGCGUGAGUGAUGACGGCCUUCGGGUUGUUAAGCUCUGUUAAUCAGGACGCGGUACCGGAAUAGAAAGCCACGGCUAACUACGUGCCAGCAGCCGCGGUAAUAC